rnacentral:rRNA from 1 species
UGACACAGGGAGGUAGUGACAAGAAAUAACAAUACAGGGCUACUGUCUUGUAAUUGGAAUGAUGGUGACUUAAACCCUCACCAGAGUACCAAUUGGAGGGCAAGUCUGGUGCCAGCAGCCGCGGUAAUUCCAGCUCCAAUAGCGUAUAUUAAACUUGUUGCAGUUAAAAAGCUCGUAGUUGAAUUUCAGCGUUUCGCGUGUGCCUCUUUUGGCCCAUCUCGUCUCGCUUUUUUUAUUACUUUGAGAAAAUUAGAGUGUUUCAAGCAGGCUUUUGUCUUGAAUACUUGAGCAUGGAAUAAUAGAGUAGGACCUUGGUUCUAUUUUGUUGGUUUUGUUACCUUGGUAAUGGUUAAUAGGAACGGUUGGGGGCAUUCGUAUUUAACUGUCAGAGGUGAAAUUCUUA